rnacentral:rRNA from 1 species
AACGAACGCUGGCGGCAUGCCUAACACAUGCAAGUCGAACGAACCCUUCGGGGUGAGUGGCGCACGGGUGCGUAACACGUGGGAACCUGCCCUUAGGUUCGGAAUAACACAGAGAAACUUGAGCUAAUACCGUAUAAUGACUUCGGUCCAAAGAUUUAUCGCCUGAGGAUGAGCCCGCGUCGGAUUAGCUAGUUGGUGAGGUAAAGGCUCACCAAGGCGACGAUCCGUAGCUGGUCUGAGAGGAUGAUCAGCCACACUGGGACUGAGACACGGCCCAGACUCCUACGGGAGGCAGCAGUGGGGAAUAUUGGACAAUGGGCGAAAGCCUGAUCCAGCAAUGCCGCGUGAGUGAUGAAGGCCUUAGGGUUGUAAAGCUCUUUUACCCGGGAAGAUAAUGACUGUACCGGGAGAAUAAGCCCCGGCUAACUCCGUGCCAGCCGCCGCAGUAAUAC